rnacentral:lncRNA from 15 species
CUUAAUGCAGAAUCAAUAAUAAUUAAUGACCUUACUGUAAACAGUAAAUAUAAAAUGAAUGUGAGACUUUACUCUGCUGCAGUAACGGAGUAUUUGUACUCGGUGAUACUUUUACUUCCUCACAUGUGGAGCGCAGCAGCAGCGGUGGGCGGGGCUAAACCACAUCUGGAUGAAAAACAUCUGGACUCUCUCUCUCUCUCUCUCUCUCUCUCUCUCUCUCUCUCUCUCCAUAUGAGUGUCUCUCCACUGACACCGGGGCCGAAGACCGACCGACGGACGGACGGACUGAACCACCGACGGACCGACCGCUGAGUGCUGACUUUGCCCGCAGAUGAUGGCUCGGUACCGGACGCUUUGGACCGGGAUCCUCGUCCUCCUGACUGUGUCACCGACCUGUGCCCUGUAUCUACAGCACCGACCUGUGCCCUGUAUCUACAGCACCAACCUGUGCCCUGUAUCUACAGCACCGACCUGUGCCCUGUAUCUACAGCACCAACCUGUGCCCUGUAUCUGCAGCAUUGACCUGUGCCCUGUAUCUACAGCACCGACCUGUGCCCUGUAUCUACAGCACCGACCUGUGCCCUGUAUCUAUCAUGUUCCCGUCAGGAUGUAUUGUAAUUCUUUGACCGUCAUCGUCAGGUCAACUUUUGAAUGUGUCUAGUACUUUUUUUAAUGACCAAAUACGUGCUAACAGCAAAAUCAGACAAUAUGUUCCACUAGCUUAGCAGUAAUGUUAGCUUUGACUUUGGACUUUGUGUUGGACUCCAUUUAUAAGCUAAUGUUAGCUAGUGUUGCCCACUGUUGGCACUCGGGAGCAUAAAGGUCACAACCUUUGACCCUCAUCCUACAUAGAGACACAUAGAGAUCAGUCCACAGACAGCAGAGGAACAAAGCUACACUACAACCUGUUCACUCUCUGCUCACACACACUGAUUAUUAUAGAAAUAUAAUACAGAAAAUGCUUCAGAAUCUCAUAUAUAUUGUGAAUACAGGACAAUAUUAAUAUUUUUACUUGAGUUGUCUCUUUAUGUUGCUCAACUUAUUUUCUUGAAUUGUACGGCUGAUGUGAUUUGAAUUAACAGAGAGGAACACAGAUUAAAAAGCAACCUAUUAUCUCACAUCUAACAAAGAGCGAGUGUAUUUGAAACUUAUGAAUAGCCCCCCCCCCCCCACACACACACACACAGAGGCUUCUUGGCGAUGUCUUGAGACACUGGAGAAAAGAGAGACUGGCACUGAAAGAAAGUGUGUUUGAGUGUUUGUGUGUGAGCUUUGUUGAUGAGCACAGCGAGGUGACGUGGUGAUGGCCUGAUGAGUCUCUAGCUGAGGAUGUGCUGAAGUUUUUGUUUGGAGGCAAACGUUUUGAGACAUUGUGAGUUAAUAAACUGUGUAGAAGUUCCUUUAAGUACAACGACUCUAGUACAAUUUUGAGUUACUGUGCUGUACUUGAGUAUUUCCAUUUCAAGCUACUUUAAACUCCACUACACCUCAGAGGGUCGACCAACAGUGACAAACACUGAACGCUGUAAGAUAACUGGCAAUCAUAUUUAAUGUUACUAUCUGCAGUCUUCCUAUAUUUUAUUUGGAGUGUGAGCAAGCAAGCUAAGGUCUAAGCCCGAGGAGUCUGAACAAAUAUUGCUACGUUAUCCAGCUAACAGCAGAAUCAGACAAUAUGUUCCACGAGCUUAGCAGUAAUGUUAGCUUUGACUUUGGACUCUAUGUUGGACUCUGUUGUGGACUCUGUGUUGGACUCUGUGUUGGACUCUUUGUUGUGGACUCUGUGUUGGACUCUGUGUUGUGGACUCUGUGUUGUGGACUCUGUGUUGGACUCUGUGUUGGACUCUGUGUUGUGGACUCUGUGUUGGACUCUGUGUUGUGGACUCUGUGUUGUGGACUCUGUGUUGUGGACUCUGUGUUGGACUCUGUGUUGGACUAUAUGUAAGUUAUUUAUUGUUAUUUAUGCGAAUGUUUGUCAUCCCAAAGUUGUUGUUGUUUAUACUUUGUUACAGAUUACUUAAGUAUAAAGUCUAAUAGUGAAUCAGUGAGCUUUAGAGGAGCUGCUUGGUGUUUACAGUCUUAAUGCUAAGCUAAGCUAACUGUACGGACAGCUGUUCUGAUCCAGAAUGUAAAACUAUUCCUUUAACUGUGCAGGAAUGAUGUACACACACACACACACACACANNNNNNNNNNNNNNNNNNNNNNNNNNNNNNNNNNNNNNNNNNNNNNNNNNNNNNNNNNNNNNNNNNNNNNNNNNNNNNNNNNNNNNNNNNNNNNNNNNNNUUUUAUUUCUCAUUAAUGUACACUCAGCACCCCAUCUUGACAGAAAAAAAACAGAAAUGUAGAAAUUUUUGCAAAUUUAUUAAAAAAGAAAACUGAAAUAUCACAUGGUCAUAAGUAUUCAUACCCUUUGCUCAGUAUUGAGUAGAAGCACACUUUUGAGCUACUACAGCCAUGAGUCUUCUUGGGAAUGAUGCAACAAGUUUUUCACACCUGGAUUUGGGGAUCCUCUGCCAUUCUUCCUUGCAGAUCCUCUCCAGUUCUAUCAGGUUGGAUGGUGAACGUUGGUGGACAGCCAUUUUCAGAUCUCUCCAGAGAUGCUCAAUUGGGUUUAGGUCAGGGCUCUGGCUGGGCCAGUCAAGAAUGGUCACAGAGUUGUUCCGAAGGCACUCCUUUGUUAUUUUAGCUGUGUGCUUAGGGUUAUUGUCUUGUUGGAAGGUGAACCUUCGGCCCAGUCUGAGGUCCUGAGCACUCUGGAAGAGGUUUUCUUCCAGGAUAUCUCUGUACUUGGCCGCAUUCAUCUUUCCUUCAAUUGCAACCAGUCGUCCUGUCCCUGCAGCUGAAAAACAUCCCCAUAGCCUGAUGCUGCCACCACCAUGUUUCACUGUUGGGAUUGUAUUGGGCAGGUGAUGAGCAGUGCCUGGUUUUCUCCACACAUACCGCUUAGAAUUAACGCCAAAAAGUUCAAUCUUGGUCUCAUCAGACCAGAGAAUCUUAUUGCUCAUAGUCUGGGAGUCCUUCAUGUGUUUUUUGGCAAACUCUAUGCGGGCUUUCAUAUGUCUUGCACUGAGGAGAGGCUUCCGUCGGGCCACUCUGCCAUAAAGCCCUGACUGGUGCAGGGCUGCAGUGAUAGUUGACUUUGUGGAACUUUCUCCCAUCUCCCUACUGCAUCUCUGGAGCUCAGCCACAGUGAUCUUUGGGUUCUUCUUUACCUCUCUCACCAAGGCUCUUCUCCCACGAUUGCUCAGUUUGGCUGGACGGCCAGGUCUAGGAAGAGUUCUGGUCGUCCCAAACUUCUUCCAUUUAAGGAUUAUGGAGGCCACUGUGCUCUUAGGAACCUUGAGUGCUGCAGAAACUGUUUUGUAACCUUGGCCAGAUCUGUGCCUUGCCACAAUUCUGUCUCUGAGCUCCUUGGGCAGUUGCUUCGACCUCAUGAUUCUCAUUUGCUCUGACAUGCACUGUGAGCUGUAAGGUCUUAUAUAGACAGGUGUGUGCCUUUCCUAAUCAAGUCCAAUCAGUUUAAUUAAACACAGCUAGACUCCAAUGAAGGAGCAGGACCAUCUCAAGGAGGAUCAGAAGAAAUGGACAGCAUGUGAGUUAAAUAUGAGUGUCACAGCAAAGGGUCUGAAUACUUAUGACCAUGUGAUAUUUUUAAAGGGGUCUGAAUACUUUCCGUACCCACUGUAUGCUUCUCGUCUCUCAGGAUCAGCAUCUCUACGUUGUCUGUAUCUGCGUUGUUUCUCAGCUGCAGAAUGAGGCAUCCUAGCAAAAUCAUAUAAAACACAUCAAUCACUUUAUUGUUAACACUAAUCUAUUUCAUGUAGUAAGUUAUAAUAAUAAAAAUAAUAAUGAAUUUGAUUUAUAAAGCACAUUCCUAAAACAACGCACUGAUAGUGUAUUAAGAUAGAUCAGUAUAGGUCAGUAACCUCAACAAAUUGUAGCCCGCCUAUCAGUAGAAUAAAUAGAAAAACAUGAUAUUUAGGUAUGAAACCUGCAAAAACAUGUUAAUUAUGUAAAUACUAUUGGAAAGAAAAGUAUAUUUUCAUGUACACACAAAAGCAUAUACUUAUACUAACUUCACUUCUUCCCUGGAGUUCUUGUGCUUUCUCGUCUCGCAGGUUCUUGUCGAUCCUGGUGGA